rnacentral:rRNA from 1 species
UACGUAGGGUGCAAGCGUUGUCCGGAAUUAUUGGGCGUACAGAGCUCGUAGGCGGUGUGUCGCGUCGGCCGUGAAAACCUGGGGCUCAACUCUGGGCGUGCGGUCGAUACGGGCAUCACUAGAGUUCGGCAGGGGAGACUGGAAUUCCUGGUGUAGCGGUGAAAUGCGCAGAUAUCAGGAGGAACACCGGUGGCGAAGGCGGGUCUCUGGGCCGAUACUGACGCUGAGGAGCGAAAGCAUGGGUAGCGAACAGG